rnacentral:rRNA from 1 species
AUACGGAGGACGCGAGCGUUAUCCGGAUUCAUUGGGUUUAAAGGGUGCGCAGGCGGCCGUGCAAGUCAGCGGUGAAAGCCCGGGGCUCAACCCCGGAAGUGCCGUUGAUACUGCAUGGCUGGAAUGCGGUCGAGGCGGGCGGAACGGGGCGGGGUGCGGUGGAAUGCGUAGAAAUGCCACAGAACGCCGAUAGCGGAGGCAGCUCGCCAGGCCUGCAUUGACGCUCGGGCACGAAAGCGUGGGGAUCGAACAGGAUUAGAUACCCUGGUAGUCCACGCCGUAAACGAUGGGCGCUCGUCGUCGGCGGCAGACAGUCGGCGGCCAAGCGAAAGCGAUAAGCGCCCCACCUGGGGAGUACGGUCGCAAGGCUGAAACUCAAAUGAAUUGACGGGG